UCGGGGUGGGGGUGAUGGACGGGACGGCGCUGGCGUUCCCCUCGGGCCGCUUCGACACGGUGGUGGACACCCACGGGCUGUGCAGCGUGGCCGAGC
rnacentral:ribozyme from 1 species